GAAAAAGUAAACAUUAUUGGUUUAGUAGUUAAUAUUAAUUUUUAUUUAUUAAAAUUGGGAUUUUUAGGUGAAAUUUUAAUUUUUUAAUAUUUAUUUUGAGUGAAGCUACGAAAUUUAUUUAAGAGACGAGGAUUAGAUACCCUUUUAUUGUAAAUGUAAAUUUUUAGAACCUGGGUAGUAAUAGUUAUGUUCUUGAAACCCAAAGAAUUUGGCGGUAUUUUAGUCCUUUCAGAGGAAUCUGUCCCAUAAUCGACAGUCCKCGAGAAAAUUUACUUAUUUUUGUAUUUCAGUUUGUAUAUCUCCGUCAUAAGAAGAUCUUUUUAGAGAUUUAAUUUUCUUAAUACAUUAAGUGUAAUAUGUCAGGUCAAGGUGCAAUUUAUGAAUAAGUGGAGAUGGAUUACAAUAAAUAUAUUUAAAUGGAUUAAAUUAUUUAAUUUUUUAUGAAGGUGGAUUUGAUAGUAAUUUUAAUUAUUUAUUAUUAMAUUCGGCUCUAAAG
rnacentral:rRNA from 1 species